AUUACCCAAUACGGACACGGGGAGGUAGUGACAAGAAAUAACAAUACAGGGCUAAUGUCUUGUAAUUGGAAUGAUGGUGACCCACACCCUCACCAGAGUAGCAAUUGGAGGGCAAGUCUGGUGCCAGCAGCCGCGGUAAUUCCAGCUCCAAUAGCGUAUAUUAAACUUGUUGCAGUUAAAAAGCUCGUAGUUGAAUUUUAGCGUGUUCGAGUUUGCCAUUCGUUUGGCUUUUUCGAGUUCGCUUUUGGGUUUUCCCUUUUUACUUUGAGAAAAUUAGAGUGUUUCAAGCAGACUUUUGUCUUGAAUACUUCAGCAUGGAAUAAUAGAGUAGGACUUUGGUUCUAUUUUGUUGGUUAUUGAACCUUAGUAAUGGUUAAUAGGAACGGUUGGGGGCAUUCGUAUUUAA
rnacentral:rRNA from 1 species